GCACGGUUAGCUCAGUCCGGCAGAGCAUCUGACGUUUAAUCAGAGGGUCGGAGGUUCAAAUCCUCCACCGGGUG